AUUCAGGCCAUGGACGAAGAAAAACUGAAAAUUGCUAAGAGAAGGAUUGCAGAGCUAAGAGGAAAGUCACCUUUACAAUUAGAAAAUAUGCUCGUUAAAAAUGUAGCAGAAAACUUUGCACGUUACGUCGUAAAUCAACAGCUGUCUACUUUAAAUGUCAGCAUUCGCCGAAUGGUUUUGUCUGAGCUUUUAAAGAAAUGUUGUCAUAAUCAGAAUGGUGACGCUGAUCAAUUGCAAGAUUUGUUAAGGGCUCUGCCUCAGUUGUUAAACUCGAAGACGCUGUCUCUUGACCUGACCAAUCUGAUGACCUUCUGUUAUGACUACCUGAAAAAAACCUGCUCUGGAGAAGUACGUUUUUAAUAAUUUUGAAUGAUUCAUAUUACUCAAAAUAUUUUAUUUUAAGUUGCUGGCGCUGAUCGCUACACAUGCGCCCAACAUUUUAUCACUGACGAUGGAAGAAACGAGCAAAACACGCCAAAUGCAUCUAAACUCAAAUUGCCUGAGCCAAGAUAUGGUGAGCUCAAUUAGAAAAUUAAAAAACCUCACUGCUCUUAAAAUGGAUGUAUGCCAAUUCCUACGCACUGACUUGAUACAAACUUGCAAUGAGCUAGUCUUUUUACGAGACCUCAAAGUCGAUAUUGUGUUUGACCAUUACGUCCUGAAAGAAGAUGAUUUUGAUGACUUUAUCGACAAGCUGAAGAAUUUGAAACAGUUUCGCUUCAAAACGUUCGUGACAUAUGAAAUGUCACUCAUCGAAUCCUAUGAAUAUCAAAGAAAACUGAGUCACGCGUGCUUCAAAGGACUGCCAAAUCUUGAAGUGAUCGGAUCUGAUGCGACUGGUGCAGACGUCCCUUUCAACAUGUCACCCUUUUGCUUUGAUCAGGAGGUAGUAUCAGACCUACGGCACUUGCAAAUAGUCCUAAACGAGUUCCAAGGACCAGAGUCAUAUGAGAAGUUCCCAAAUGUCACGCAUCUGAAGAUUGGUUGGUCUCCAGAAAACGUACAUAGUGCAGAAAAUCUGAAUUCACUACUGAAUUUUCCAAAAUUGCUGCACUUGAGUUUGGUGGAGUUGCCAAACAAACUACUUCUAUGCAAGCUUCUGGAAAAAUAUGGACCGCAACUUCAAACACUCUCCAUUGGCAAUAAAGUCAUAAAAACUAACUUGAUCUUGACAGAAAUUUCCCAGACUUGUCCGAAGUUAGAAAUCUUUUGUCUAUCUGGAUGGAUUUAUGUGCCGGAC